rnacentral:rRNA from 1 species
AGUUUGAUCCUGGCUCAGGAUGAACGCUAGCGAUAGGCCUAACACAUGCAAGUCGAGGGGCAGCAUAGGGUAGCAAUACUUUGAUGGCGACCGGCGCACGGGUGAGUAACGCGUAUGCAACCUACCUAUAACAGGGGCAUAACCCGGAGAAAUUCGGACUAAUACCGCAUAAAACAGGGGCUCCGCAUGGAGAUAUUUGUUAAAGAUUUAUCGGUUAUAGAUGGGCAUGCGUUCCAUUAGCCAGUUGGUGAGGUAACGGCUCACCAAAGCAACGAUGGAUAGGGGAACUGAGAGGUUUGUCCCCCACACUGGAACUGAGACACGGACCAGACUCCUACGGGAGGCAGCAGUGAGGAAUAUUGGUCAAUGGGCGAGAGCCUGAACCAGCCAAAUCGCGUGAAGGAAGACUGCCUUAUGGGUUGUAAACUUCUUUUAUACAGGAAUAAAAAGAGUUACGUGUAACUUAUUGCAUGUACUGUAUGAAUAAGCAUCGGCUAACUCCGUGCCAGCAGCCGCGGUAAUACGGAGGAUGCGAGCGUUAUCCGGAUUUAUUGGGUUUAAAGGGUGCGCAGGCGGGAACUUAAGUCAGCGGUGAAAUCUCGACGCUUAACGUCGAAACUGCCGUUGAAACUGGGUUUCUUGAGUAUAGAUGAAGUAGGCGGAAUUCGUUGUGUAGCGGUGACAUGCUUAGAUAUAACGAGGAACUCCGAUUGCGUAGGCAGCUUACUAAGCUAUAACUGACGCUCAAGCACGAAAGCGUAGGGAUCAAACAGGAUUAGAUACCCUGGUAGUCCACGCCGUAAACGAUGAUUACUAGUUGUAUGCGAUAUACGGUAUGUGACUAAGCGAAAGCGAUAAGUAAUCCACCUGGGGAGUACGCCGGCAACGGUGAAACUCAAAGGAAUUGACGG